rnacentral:lncRNA from 1 species
UAGCAACGGUGCCAAAAAUGUCAAACCUAUCCCUCACACCACUUAAGCCAAGUUGUCAUCCCCAGCAUGACAUGAGAGACGCGGUAUUGAAAUAUGCAAUUGCUCUUCUAAAUAAAUAAUGAAUGGGAUCUGCAAGCGCACAGGUUAAUACCGAUGUAGCAUUUUAACCGGGAAGUAUUCCAGGUAUCGUUAUUUAUAUUUUUACCACUGGGAAGGGAUUAGAAAUCAUCACUAUUGAUUACAGAAUAGAAUAUGAGAUUG